UACGUAGGGUGCAAGCGUUGUCCGGAAUUAUUGGGCGUAAAGAGCUCGUAGGCGGUCUGUUGCGUCGGCUGUGAAAACUCGGGGCUUAACCCCGGGCCUGCAGUGGGUACGGGCAGACUAGAGUGCGGUAGGGGGAGACUGGAAUUCCUGGUGUAGCGGUGAAAUGCGCAGAUAUCAGGAGGAACACCGGUGGCGAAGGCGGGUCUCUGGGCCGUAACUGACGCUGAGGAGCGAAAGCAUGGGGAGCGAACAGG
rnacentral:rRNA from 1 species